AUGAAUCUUUACAGGAGCUUUGGAAACCUCAUGGAGGCUUGGGUUACUGAGGGAGGCCAGAGUCCAGACUCAGAGUGGCUUGGAAAUAACGAUGAAGACCCUUCUACACCGUCCUCUGACACAGGGACAAACCUGCGCUCAGAAUCUGUGGACUCUGGCGUGGAGACAGCCAGCUCCGACACGUCCUUCCUUGCUACGUCCUGCUCCAUCUCAACAGACAGAGCAGAAAUAGACACAUUCACACCGGAGAGAGGAGGACUCACUCCAGCCUCAGCGUCACAGUCUCCCGUCCUGUCCUCUCCUCCACCUUCCUCUUCUACCUUGCACCAAAAAGUGGAGCAAGCUCUGCAGAGGACUGACUCCAAACACCUAAAGGACAAUCCAGAGCCCCUCACAGUGGAGGCGGUGCUCCGGCGACGACCUCGAGCAUCUUUUCAACCCAGAAGGCACACAUCGGACUUAGUGAGAGGUCAAAGGCCGGGGAGCUUUGGGCUAUGGACAACGGUCAACCCAGCAGAGCCCAUGAGGCUGACGCGCAGACGACCAGCGUCUAUGAUUUGUGACAGGCAGCCAGUUCGGAAAAGAUUAGAGGACCUCGGCGAGGAGGAAGGGAAAGGACUGAGUCCCGGGCUCAGCUACCUGGAGCAGGUGUGCCAAAUGUUAGAGGAGGUUGCCAGACAGCAGAUGCACAACCAAGCGUUACAAAUGGAUGCGAAUGCCUCGCGGGAGCAUCAAGACAUGGAGGAGAGCCAGGCCUGCCAGUCUGACUCUAAAGCUGCUGAGGAGGACCCCUCUUCUUGUCAGAGUCUUGAAAGAGCUCAGCAAACUUCCAGAGAACCCCAGCAGAAGAAAGAUCAUCGUCUCGGACACUUUCGGCAGAGAUCAACCUCGGACACGAGCCUUGCAACACUACAUUUAAGACGGCUGAAUGCAGACUGCAGGGGGCAGCAGCUGAGUACAAAUGACCUGCUGGAGAAGAUAGAGGAGGACCACGAGAAGCAGGAGUCUAAAAAAGAAGAGAAUCACAAAACCUACAAAAACUGGCUUUACAAAAUUGGGUCUCUCAGAAGAGACGAGUCUGCCGCGAAAGAUUUAAAAAGCCAACAGAUGCAGCCAUCUGAGAAAAACUCGGCCCGGAGACGGUUGAGCCAGCUGUUCAGGAGGAACAGGAGGAAAACUCUGCCCGUGUAA
rnacentral:lncRNA from 1 species